AUGUAAGCUAUAUCCUCAUCUCACUGUAAAUCAGCCUUUUCUGACUGUAAACCUUUUAUGGAUUGUGUUUUUAUGCCAUGGUUUUUGAUUAAUAACACCAGAUGUAUGUGAUCUAGCCCAGCUUUAAUAGUAAUAGAUGAGAUGAGACCCGCCUAAGAAACCAUCUUUACUCUGCUGAAGUACAUCCCUCUGAACCUACUGUCACUACCUGAUCUGUACCAGAAUCAUAAAAAUAAUGUGCCAAAGUCACUUCCUGUUAGUGCUGUUGUUUUGCGACACUUGUGGUUGCUGCCUGAUAUAAAACGAAAGGAGAAAAUGUGACAUAAAUUGUUCUGAUUUUUCCUGUUUUUACAGGAGGAGGCCAUACUUCCCACGUGUGGAACAAAUCUGAUUUCCAGUACAGAAUGGUCUUCCUGUUUGGAGGUGGGAGGGACUUCUUAAAGUUGCGGCCAGUCAGACUGGGGACGCCGACGUCUGCACUUGUUCUGGACACAGUGCUGUCAGCUGGAGGUGCAGUGGUGGUCUUUAGGCCUCCGUCGGCAGCAGGAGGGAGCUUCGCCUGCUCCAGCAACAGAAAAAAUGUACAAAGAGAAUGAAAACAGGCUUGAGUGAAGAAUCAGACUGGGGCCACAGAGAGAGAAAGGCCCUCUGACGCAUGAGGGCCUGGAGCCACCCUGACGGCAAUCACACACACACAAAACACAGAAAACGACGCCGCAAACUCCGCGUAU